AAAGCAAACGCACGGGCCAUGUUCUCCAGCUCCACACGCAACCACUCCUCCGCGUCGCCGUCGCCUCUGCCUCACCCCGUCUCCUUCCGCAGCAAUGGCCUACCUCAUCUCCCCUCCGCCGAUGUGGUGCUAGCCACCACCACCGAGCCCUAGCAGCAAAGGGAGUGGUGGCUUAUUCCACGGCGCAUCUCCACGCGUGCAGCGGCGACCCCGGGAGGAGCUUAAGCCGCAGCGAUGGUCCACCGCGCCGGCGCCGUCGUCGACCGGCAGUGGAGGAGCAGCAGCGGCCAACGGCAGAUCGGCGUGUCAUGGGAGCAGACACGGCGGCCGUCACGGGCAGAGCAGAGCGAAGUUGGCAUGGCGGCUAGGCGGCUGUCCGGACUGGAUCCCGCCAUCACCACCAGCCACCGCCUCGUUUGUCCGUGUCCAUCUCGGCGAAACCAAGGGUCUGCCUCGUGUCCUGCGAGGUGACACUCCACCGCCACCGCUCUGCUGCUUCCGCCCUACGCUUCGCUCCCUCCGGUGCCAUCCUCACCUCCGACAAAAAGGACCUCUUGGACGUCAUUGCACAUGCUGGCCUCUUCCGACCCCGUGGCCACCGUGAUCAGGUAAUUGAUUUUGUGUUCCUGGAUUCGGGUAAGAAGCUAGUGACCUGCUCCAAGGACAAGGUUAUCUGGGUUUGGGACCUCAACACACAACACUGCCUUCAAAUUGUAAGGUGUCCAUCACAUCAAGAUAUGGUCGAUGGAUGUUGAUUCUAGCGAGAAGUUUUUGGUGUCUGUCUCGGCCGAUCAAGAGCUGUGGGUGUUCAAAAUCAGGCAAUCAGCUGAACAGGGUGAAGAUUGGAACAAAUGGGAUGCACUUCACCAUUGAUCUAUUGUGAUUCCUUUUCCCCUUUAAUAACGUGUACGUAUAGGGUAGUCAAGCGCCAACAGGAUAUCAGCUUUUGUUGUGGAUGAGAGUGGGAUGAUCAAUCGGAUUGCCGGGGUAGUACAACAUUGAGUCAUUGGCAGUUCGGCUCAACAAGGACAAGGCGCUGUUCACCAUAGGGGUAUUAGGAACAGAGAAAAUACUCACACAAGGCAUGGAGCAGCUACAAACUUGUUAAUGUUAUACAGGUUGAUGAUUUGUCAAAGGAAUUUUAUUGCAAAUUCCUGUAGGCCUGAAAAUGCACACUAUCAUAACAGAGUAAUGUGCAAGUACACAAUGUCAUAGUACAAAAAUAGAAUUUGGACUGAUUAUUUAACAUCACUCGAGCAGCUUCCCUUGCGCCGUUAUCCAUCCACCAACAAGCCCAUGACCAUGCAUCAGAGAAUGAAAAGCAUCUUUCACGCUGCCAACGGGAUCUGGACCAAGAAGAGGAUCAGGAGGACGAAUACAGUGGACACUACUACUCAGCAAGAUACAGUUCAAACCCUGUAUCCUCCUGAUUGAUCUCCCUUCGCCCCUGUUUAAGAAUCAUGUUUCACCCAUUCAGUGUUGUCUUCAGAAUUAUAGACACCUCAUUCUAUAAGGAGGCCGCCACCAAGAAGAGCGAGGUUGUGUCAAUGGACUCAGCGACAAGUUGUAGAAAGAAACAAGGCUUAUGUUAGGCAAAGUUGAUUAGGUUGUACUACACACCGAGUGCCUCCAUAAGAAUCUAGAUAAAAUGCCAUAAAAGACUGUUCUAGAUAAGAUGAUGGCUAUCAAUGUGAGCGACUGAGCUUUUAUGUCCAGAAAAUGCUCACUAAUAAAAUCUGGAAUGUCUUAUGUUUCUCAUCUUUUCUCUUCAUUUGUAUGGUUAAAGUUUGGCUUCAAACCAACAAAUAGUUAAUAUUAAAUUAAGUUAUUUCCCCGCUCCCCUCUUCAGUUGGCAAACCCAUCAAGGAAUUGUUGUAAUGAAUAUAUUUUAUAUGGUUACAUCCACAAGAGGAAGAGAUCUUAAAUGCUA